GAGUUUGAUCCUGGCUCAGGACGAACGCUGGCGGCGUGCCUAAUACAUGCAAGUCGAGCGAAUCAAGAGGUGCUUGCACCUCUUGAUUAGCGGCGGACGGGUGAGUAACACGUGGGCAACCUGCCUGUAAGACUGGGAUAACUUCGGGAAACCGGAGCUAAUACCGGAUAAUCCCUUUCCACUCAUGUGGGAAAGCUGAAAGUCGGUUUACGCUGACACUUACAGAUGGGCCCGCGGCGCAUUAGCUAGUUGGUGAGGUAACGGCUCACCAAGGCGACGAUGCGUAGCCGACCUGAGAGGGUGAUCGGCCACACUGGGACUGAGACACGGCCCAGACCCCUACGGGAGGCAGCAGUAGGGAAUCUUCCGCAAUGGACGAAAGUCUGACGGAGCAACGCCGCGUGAGCGAU
rnacentral:rRNA from 1 species